rnacentral:rRNA from 1 species
UAAGACGAACUGCCCUAACGUUGUUCGGAAUCACUGGGCAUAAAGGGCGCGUAGGCGGCGAUUCAAGUCAGGGGUGAAAUCCGGCAGCUUAACUGUCGAAGUGCCUUUGAUACUGAGUUGCUCGAGGGAGGUAGGGGUCUGUGGAACUUCUGGUGGAGCGGUGAAAUGCGUUGAUAUCAGAAGGAACGCCGGUGGCGAAAGCGACGGACUGGACCUUUUCUGACGCUGAGGCGCGAAAGCUAGGGGAGCAAACGGGAUUAGAUACCCCGGUAGUCCUAGCCCUAAACGUUGGGUACUAGAUAGUAGACUAAUCAUGGGUUUACUGUCGAAGCUAAUGUGUUAAGUACCCCGCCUGGGGAGUAUGGUCGCAAGGCUG